UAGGUGUAAAGGAAGAAGGUUCGAAUUCUAAGAAGCCGGAAGGAUCACAAGACCGAGGUAAAUCCUCGACUUAGGCGAUUGGACGGCUUGGAACGUGCACACUUGGUUUACGCCCGCCUCACGCUUCCGUUAUUAAGUCUUUUGGAAUGGGUUAAGUCUUGGUCAUAUGUAUUUAAGUCUAUGUAGUAUGUUGACUUCUUUGUCGUAGGGUAAAACUUGGUAGUUGAAGUCAUGUCGUGUCCAAUGUGGACUUUGUUUGUUUUGGGUUUUUGUCAAGGAUGUUUAACG